UACGGGGGGGGCAAGCGUUGUUCGGAAUUACUGGGCGUAAAGGGCUCGUAGGCGGCCAACUAAGUCAUACGUGAAAUCCCCCGGCUUAACCGGGGAACUGCGUCUGAUACUGGAUGGCUUGAGUUCGGGAGAGGGAUGCGGAAUUCCAGGUGUAGCGGUGAAAUGCGUAGAUAUUGGGAAGAACACCGGUGGCGAAGGCGGCUCUCUGGACCGUAACUGACGCUGAGGCGCGAAAGCGUGGGGAGCAAACAGG
rnacentral:rRNA from 1 species